GCCAGCAUGGUGUAGUGGUUUGGGUAUUAGACUAAGACUCUGGAGACCAGGGUUUGAAUUCCCAGUUGGCC